AUAUCCUUGUAUGAAGGCGGUAAUGUAAUUUAUCUCUAAACAAACCACCACAGCUGAACUAAAGAACGUUGUUCCUUUGAUUUUACAUCUAUCAUUUCUAGCUAAUAAAUUAAAAAAUUUAUUAGUGGAUCUACAUCGUAUUGUUAUCAUUUGUAAGACGAUAGGUAAUCAGAACAUGUGACAUAUAGUAAUUCGUA